UACUAGAGUAGCACUCGCAUAUCAAUAAGCGGAGGAAAAGAAACUAACAAGGAUUCCCCUAGUAACGGCGAGUGAAGCGGGAAGAGCUCAAAUUUGAAAUCUUAAAGGGUUUCCCUUUACGAAUUGUAGUUUAAAGAAGUGUUUUCCUGUUGAGGUUUUGGUAAAAGUUCUUUGGAAUAGGACAUCAUAGAGGGUGAGAAUCCCGUAUUUGACCUUUACUUUCAACUUUGUGAUACACUUUCAAAGAGUCGGAUUGUUUGGGAGUGCAGUCCAAAAUGGGUGGUAAAUUUCAUCUAAAGCUAAAUAUUGGCGAGAGACCGAUAGCGAACAAGUACCGUGAGGGAAAGAUGAAAAGAACUUUGAAAAGAGAGUUAAACAGUACGUGAAAUUGUCAAAAGGGAAGCGUUUGACACCAGUGUUGUUUUUCUGAAAAUCAAUUAAAGAACUGUUUAUGCUAAGUUGUUUAGACUUUAUCAGCUAACUGUUUAGUUUUGAGCUUUUCUUUAAUGCACUUUUCAGUUAACAAGGUCAACAUCAAUUUCUUUUGCUGUAAAAAAGCUUGAGGAAGGUGGCUUGAGAUUCGUCUUAAGUGUUUAUAGCCUCUUGCCUAUGCAGUCGGAGAGAUUGAGGUCUGCAGCGUAGAUCCUUCGGGGCUAAAUGCAUUUGUGCUAAGUUAUAGCAUUUUAUAGACAACUUGUUGACUAUGAUUUGUCUUGUAGCUUACUCGCUUAUGUUAUUUUACCUACGCUUAGGAUGUUGAGCGCAUGUCUCUCUCU
rnacentral:rRNA from 1 species